UCUCCCUCUGAUUUUCUUUCCAAAACAAACCACCACACCUCGACGCGGGCAUGCGUGCGUGCGUCCUAGCAGGUAUGCCGAGCCCUCUUUCCUUCUCCUCCCUUCCACCACCACCAGCGCCAGAGCCCCCACAUGGCCAGCGGGGCAGUGAGAUCGAGCUCCAGAGCUCCCCACGGUUCGGUAGCCCACCGCCAGACUCCAUGAAUCCGUCGGGUAGCGACCUCCACCACCACCAGGCCCUCGGCGGCGGCGUGUAUCUAACCCAUUGAACCCACUCAUCCCAUCCAUGCAUCGAAUAGUACCAUGGUUAACCGAAUGCACAAAUCAAUGCAUCGAUAAGAACCACUGCAAUGGAUCAAUCAUUUUUGACAAUCAGCUGACAGCUGCCAAAGUUUGUUGCAAAGCUUGUGUGAUCAUUCUGUAGGUCAACCAGUGAUUCUAAAGGUUAGUUUCUUCUAUUCAGUUUAGCUUCUACGGAGUACAUUCAGAUGAGAAACUAUUAUUAAAUCCUCUAUUUUAUUCAUUAAUUUUGUUAUGUUAUUUAUUUAAUGUAUAUUUAGAUUUUGCUCCUUGAUGGGAUUACUCCUUUUCCUUGUGGUAUUAUUUUUUUUUGCUAUCUGAUUAUAUUAUACUAUAAUCCUAUCUCGCAAUGUUUUCACAUAGCUUGAAGCAUCUUAUACUGUCCAUGAUUUUUUUUCUAGAGUGAGUAGGAAUAUUUUCGAUGAAAGUUAUUUUCACUAUUUCAAACAGUAUAUCUAAGGUUGAAGUUGGAAGGAGAAUAUUGAUGGAGCCUAAGAGGUCUUGUGAAAGAAAGGGGGUCUGACUGUAUGAGCAGCCAAAUCUUUAUGAUAUAAAUGGGACAUCUACACUGAAGGUGUCACACCUGGUUUCUCUACAUCUGACAUAGUUUGACCAGCUCUUUAACAGUAGCUACAUGCUAAUCAUUGUUGCAUACCAUCAACUAUUGCUGUAUUUUAGCAAGUUGCCAUGAAGGGUUCUAAUCAAUAUACAGGUUCUGCACUUUGCCAAGUAAGCAGACUAAACAUAUUACACUUUACCACUCAUACUUAUUUUCUGUACAAAAUGUAAGGAAUUUCAGUUCAGAUUCUGCACUUUGCCUAUUCUGUCUAUUAGAUUUGCUAACAGGUUCACUCAUGUAGUCAUAUUAUGGGAGCCACAAAUUUCAGAAGAUAGGUACAAGAGCUAUUAAUUCGGAAUUGAUGUUGCCAUAAGUUGACUUAUAUAGCCUAUUCCUGGGAGAAAGGGUAAAGCUGCCUGCUCUUGUUUGGAUCUCAUCGUAAGAAAUGAAUUGAUGUUGCCAAUCCUUCCUGAAAUAGGAAAGCUAGCAGAUGUUUUAUAUAUGAGAUGGACAUGCUCCCUUUCUCUUGAUGCAACAAGAUUUAAUGGUACAAUAUGAUAAUUUACAUGAUUCAUACUUCAAAAUAUACAGUUCCACUUUCGUAAAAUGAUUCUGGGUGUAGAUUUUAUGUUUCAGUCUCUGAACCCUGCUUAUUUGCUCACAUUUACUGAUUAUUCAAAACGAAGGUGUUUGUUGAUUAGCCAUGUAAAUUUAUUAUUUUAAAAAUAUUAUUCAGAUUAUUGUGGGCACAUUGGGGUUUGGGGGUUGUCAAAUCUCUCUAGAUCAUAGGUUUCUUGCAUAUACAGUUGAUACAUCUGGGAUUGAACUAUUUUUCCAUCGAUCUGAACAUGCCAUAUUUAGUUUAGGCAAUGGAAUAGUUAGUUCUGCAUGAACUGUGAUUAUUUGAGUAGAUGAAUGACUCAAGAAGUGGGCUCUUCCCUAGGAAGGAUUUGGCAAGGCAAGCUACUUUAAGAACAUUCAGAUCCAAGUGCCGCCACCAUCAUCAACUCCUUGCUGCCUUGCCUGCACCGGAGAUGGACCCAAUGCCAUGAUACAUAUUGGGUUCUGCGCCUCUGCUACAAAGCCACCAUGCCAGACUCCUCGCUGCCUUACCUGCUCCAGAAGCAGACCCAUCACAGCACCUGCGUAUCUCCAAGACCACAACCAGUUCGAGAAGAGGAGGGGAAAUUUUACCAAAGAGAUUGAUAUUGUUGAUGUGUUUUUGCAGAUUAGCUAUCAAGCCGGACCAUAUCCAUCUCAGUGAUGUUUCUGAAAGAUGGUAAGAUGGUAAUGAUCUACUAUGAUGUUGGACAGCUUGCUCCUCCGUUGUUUGAAGAAAAAGCUUUGCUCAAAUGGGGCUUUGCUUUUCAAGGCAAAAAGUGGGUGUGGUUGGUUUCCGCAAGAUCACUCAAAGUACAUUGCAUUAGAAGUAAAGGUUAUAGUAAUGAAAUGAAACUAUAAUAGGGAGUCGUUUGUCUGCCCCUUGACUCAUUUUGAUCUUAGACAAGUGGCCUCAUUUUGAUCUCAGACAAGUACUUGUCUGGCAGUAGCAGAUAUAUGAUUUUACUUUAGCUUUAUGCAAGAAGGAUUCAUGUAUCACCAAGCAAAGGAGUUGUAUAUGAUGUUAACAUAUUGGAUCCCUGAAGGGCCCUACCCGUUGCA